rnacentral:rRNA from 1 species
AUUUCCUACGGGAGGCAGCAGUGGGGGAUAUUGGACAAUGGGGGGAACCCUGAUCCAGCGACGCCGCGUGAGUGAAGAAGUAUUUCGGUAUGUAAAGCUCUGUCAGCAGGGAAGAAAGCAAUGACGGUACCUGACCAAGAAGCCCCGGCUAACUACGUGCCAGCAGCCGCGGUAAUACGUAGGGGGCAAGCGUUAUCCGGAAUUACUGGGUGUAAAGGGAGCGUAGACGGCUGUGCAAGUCUGAAGUGAAAGCCCAGGGCUCAACCCUGGGACGGCUUUGGAAACUGUGGAGCUAGAGUGCUGGG